UAGCUUCUUCUUUAGCGCCGAGACUCUUCAUCUUUGCUCACAUUCUUCAUCUUUUCUUCACUUUGAUACUGUUAAAUUCUCUUCCAUCUUAUUCGUAUUUGUUUUUUUUUUUUUUUUUGAAAUUGUAUUUUGCUAUCUAGCUAGAGUUUACAAAAUAUAGUUUGCCUUUUCCCUUUUCACCGGGCGUCGUUGUUUGCUUCUUCCGGUUGCCAUUGCCCGCCUCGCUUCACGUCAAAAUCAGGCGUAGCCCAUUAUUUAUCGUCGUCUCACUUCCUCCGAUCUCGGCCUAUUCGUCCAGCGAUUUUGUCUCCCCAGCCGGCCUCGCUUCACCUCGAAUGCCCCGUAGCAGCAACCUGCGCCAUUCCCCAUAUCAGGGAGCCCCUUCUCCGGUCUAGGCCCAUUGGUCUGGCAACUCUGUAACAGUUGCCGACGCCUCCUCAACCCAACGACUAAUAGCAGAUAACAGAGGAAAGAUGACCCCUGCCUCAUCCAAGCUUUAUGCAGAUGAUGUGAGCCUGUUGAUGGUACUAAUUGACACGAAUCCAUUCUUUUGGAACUCGGCUCAAUCCAUGCUUCCUUUCUCCAAGUUCUUGACCCAUGUACUUGCAUUUUUGAAUUCUAUACUUUUGCUGAAUCAGAUGAACCAAGUGGUUGUCAUUGCAGCUGGUUAUAAUUCUUGUGGCUACAUAUUUGAUUCCUCAGACCCACAGAGCCAAAAUCAGCGGGCAGAGGAUUUGCUGGAUAAAUUGGAGGAAUUUGUGGACAAUGACCAGGAACUAUGUCGUGAACAGUCUGUGGAUGGCCCUGGGUUCUCACUUUUAUCUGGUUCCCUCUCGAUGGCCCUUUGCUAUAUUCAGAGGGUCUUCCGUACUGUGCUGCUUCAUCCCCAGCCUCGGAUAUUAUGCUUACAUGGAUCUCAAGAUGGACCUGGACAGUAUAUAUGUAGCAAUCAUGAAUUCGAUUUUCUCUGCUCAGCGAUCAAUGGUUCCUAUAGAUGCAUGCGUGAUAGGAGCUCAACACUCUGCUUUCCUACAGCAGGCUUCUUAUAUAACUGGUGGUGUAUAUCUGAAGCCGCAGAUAUUGGACGGAUUGUUUCAGUAUCUUUCGGUGUUUCUGCCACAAAAACACAAUUGAUAUGGGCUACAUUUGCUCUGUUUGUUUAUCUAUAUUCUGCAAGCAUCAGAAGAAAUGUUCUACCUGUGGAUCAGUGUUUGGUCAGGCCCAAACACAGGACUCCUCGACAACAUCGGACCGGAAGAGGAAGACACCAGUGGAUGGUUAGGUCCUCAGCUGCUUUGAGGCUAAUGUCCAUUGGUCUAGGCCCAUUGGUCCGACAACUCUGUAACAGUUGCCGACGCCUCCCCAACCCAACGACUAAUAGCAGGUUGAAGAAAGAUAAGGAAUGUGAGGCAUUGUACAGGGAGAGAUUGCUAUCACUACAAAAAAACAGCUGAAUUGCGACAGAAUUAACGACGGAAUCAAGUUCCGUCAUAAAAUUAUAACAGAUUAACGACAGACCAACGACCACUUACAUUUUCAACAGUUAACGACGGAAUUAGCGACGGAAUUUCCGUCAUAAGUAUUUGCUACGGAAUUAUUCCGUAGUUAAAAUUAAGAAAUAUAUAAUUAUAAAAUAAUUUAAAUUUAACGACAGAAUUAUUCCGUAGUUAAAAUUAAAAAAAUAUAUGAUUUAAAUAAUUAAAUAUUAACGACAGAAUUAUUCCGUAGUUAAAAAUAAAAAAUAUAUAUUAUUUAAAUAAUUAAAAAUUUAGCGACAGAAUUAUUCCGUAGUUAAAAUUAUUAAUUAUUUAAAUAAUUUAAAUUUAAUUACGCUCGUUAAAUUUCAUAUUAUAAGAAAAAAAAAUGGUGGCUUUAUCCCUUUACUCCCCGACUUUCCCCCCUUUUCUCUCUCUACGCCCUAAUCCUCCCCGCCGAGAACCACCACCCCUCUCCAAUUCGUCUCCUUCGAUCCGAUCUGCGCCUCUGGCAAGCUCAUCGCCAUCGCCGCCACCAACGACGACUUCCUCCCCGCCCUCUCUCAGCCUCUAAUUUUCGAUCCGCUCUCCGAAAAAUGGACCCUCGGCCUGUAGCUUGUCUCCGCCCGCCGCUGGUGCGUCGCCGGCGCCUCUCGCGGCGCCGUCUUCGUCGUCAGCGGGAUCGGCUCACAAUACAACAGAGUUAUGAUUUUACUUGUAAGUGGAGGGAAAAGCUCACACCUAUUUUUGUUCACCGAAGAUCUUUUCUUCAUUUAUGGUUAUCACUAGGUUUGGCAAUCUACGUUUAAUACGUCUCAGUUAUGGUUAUCUAUUUCCGCAAAGGUGACAUUUGGUGAAAUUGGAAAUCAAAGGCCAAACUUCCUAGACCAGCUAUCUCAGGGAGAAAAAGAGUGUCCCUACUACAUGCGCACUGGGUCCUGCAAAUAUGGAUUGAAUUGCAGAUAUCAUCAUCCUGAACCUGUCACUGUUGGUGGUGAUUCCACUUCUGGAUAUGGAAAUGGGGGUUCUUUUCCACCACAAUUUGUUUCCUCGUCAUCUCCCUCUUCAUGGUCUUCACCAAGAGCAUUUAAUGAGACUUCUCCAUUCAUACCAGUUAUGUUUCCACCAUCCCAAGGUGCUCCUACUUCAAACCAAGAUUGGAACGGCUAUCAGUGGAUGCCCGAGCUUCGUCGUUUCGCUCCAAAUGUUCCAAUCGUGCUAGUUGGAACAAAGUUAGGGGUUAUCUUGCUGAUCAUAUAGGAGGAUCUAACAUCAUCACCACAGCCCAAGGCGAGGAGCUGAGGAAACAGAUUGGUGCAGCAGCUUACAUAGAAUGCAGCUCCAAGUUAUUAUGUCUAUAAAUCGAUUUACAGGUGGCAAGGAAAGUAUGAAGUCACCAUAUGCAACUUCCAAGUGAGCCAACAAGGAAAUCAUCAGUCAAUGGGUUCAAAGAUCUUUAGUUCGACUGGAAAUCAUCUCCUUGAUCUCUUCGGCGUUUAUUUGGUUUCGACUGUUUGUGUAGCUUAAGACCAUUGGUGUUGGGAAAGAUAUGCAUAUGCAAAGGAGAAAACAAGAAAAUGGCACAUUGUAGAAUUUUUUCAUUACAGUUUUUACCCUUCAACUUUUCUACUCUUUGUUUUACUAGUUGCAGAAAAUGGCACAUUGUAGGUUUGUUGAAUGUUAGCCCUCCAAUUUGUAUGAGAUUAGUUGAAUUUGAAGUUGGUUUGUUGAAUACGUUAAUAGAUGAAUUUCUAUGAUAUUGGAUUGUUAUUGCA